ACGGCCAUAUAGUGUUCAAACGUCGGUUGCCGUAGGAUCACCGAAAUUAAGCAACGUUGAGCCUGGUCAGUACCCAAAUGGGUGACCGCUUGGGAAUACCAGGUGCUGUCAG